ACGCAGCACCGCCUCCCUUCCUCCAGAGAGUUCCGUAGGGGAGACGAGGAGCAGCGAUGGCCGCCGCCGCUCGAGCCCGAUGGCGGCUCCUCGCGCUACCCCUGGCGCUGCUCCUCGCGACCGGCUCGCCGCGCGGCCUCGACGCGGCGCCCAAGCCCCCCGUCCCCAAGGCCAUCUCCGUGAGUCCCCCCACUCCCAGCGCUGCUCCUCGCGACCAGCUCGCCGUGCGGCCUCGACGCGGCGCCCAAGCCCCUCGUCCCCAAGGCCAUCUCCGGAGAGAUGGUGGCAUGGUGCAUUCGGUGCUCGGCGAUGGGGAAGCACGGGGACGGGCCGACGCGGUUGGCGGAUCCGCGCUGCACGACCUGAGGGAGGCGAUCGUGAAGGGGCUGGGGUUCCGGUCGGAGCUAACAGAGGGAGUACUUCCCAAUAGGAGCUAACAGGUACUGUGUCAAACUGAUGAAGGGCCAACAUCUCCAGGGAUUUCAUUCAGGUUGCUCUUUGAGACAAUACAAGACAGUAUAUCGUCUUUACAAAGAGAAUUGCUCUAUCGCCACUAUGAAGAGUUGAAGGAAAAUAAGAUUACUCGUGAUGAAAUGGUCAAGAAAAUGAUGAUAAUAGUUGGAGAGAAAUUACUUCUGGAUUAAUUGAAGAAACUUAAAUACAGUGUACCGUGUCUACUUUGAUCACCUGGAUGUCCCCUCCAACAUCGACUGCGGUAUCUCCGUUGGAACCGUCUUUGGUAGUACAUGAUAAGAACCAAGACACCCUGACUGGAGGAAGUACUACAGCCUGGAAAAGGGAGACGCACACACCCUGUCGCUCUUUUCACAUCGAAAAUGGUUGAUCAAUAGAUGUGUGGAUUGCUGCUGGGUGCUGCAUGUAUGGAAUUUCCUGCACGCUUAUUUUGAACACUAUAAAUGGUGUCAAUGGCUUCACGCAUGAACGACCCUUCCCUUGAGGAGUUCAUAAUGACUCAUUCAAAUAUCGAGAUGUUUUGUGAUGUCAGCCUGUCACACAAAUGAUAUUUAUUUUCUUUUUCUAAAAAAUCACCAAGAAGCGUCCCACUCAGAUGCUAUCAAUGUGCACUAUAAGAUGAUUUAUUUCUAUCAAUGGAUUGAUCAAGCUUUGCGUUUUCUUGAAAUAACUAAAGAAUAUUAUAUGAGGGAUAGGCUUAGGAGCCUCAUUUAUUUUCAUUUCAAUUUCUACCUAUGUGUUUCCUUUCUGUUUUGUGUAUAUGGAAAUAAAUUAUUUGCAUUAUUUCAAGAUGUCGAAACAAUAGUUGUUGUUACCAAUCUUUCAGUGAACUUUUGUUGAUCAACCAUUUUCAAUUUGAUCGUAGGAGUGGAAUUAUGUCAGGAAGGCAUCUUUCUAGGACAUAGUUGGAAAAGGAGGCAUAUAAACAAGACAUGUUAAGGGUUGCAUGGUGGUAACAACAGAGCAGGAAGGGAUCGCAAGAUGUCAGUUUCGUACAUGGUUGAAAUCAUGGUUGGGAUGCGGUUUUGCAAACUUUAAGGAUUGUUGAAUAAAUAUCCGUAUAUUGUGCUCAUUUCAUAAUACAUGACUUUCUAUUGUGUGUUCAAAA